rnacentral:rRNA from 1 species
UACGUAGGGGGCAAGCGUUGUCCGGAUUUAUUGGGCGUAAAGGGUGCGUAGGCGGCUGUGUAAGUCUGGCGUGAAAGCCCCGGGCUCAGCCCGGGAAGUGCGCUCGAAACUGCGCGGCUCGAGUGCCGGAGGGGAGAGUGGAAUUCCUGGUGUAGCGGUGAAAUGCGUAGAUAUCAGGAGGAAUACCGGUGGCGAAAGCGACCCUCUGGACGGCAACUGACGCUGAGGCACGAAAGCGUGGGGAGCAAACAGG